CGGUCCCAGUUCCUUGUUUGUCUUGCGAUAUUUGGCAACACUGGUAAUUUGACUGGCGCUUGGUUUGUGUUGGAAAUGAGUUUACUCGCUACUUCUGCGAGUCCCAACAGCUCUUCACUUUACUACACAUUUAGUACAUACGAUACGCUGUCCCAAGUGGUUGGAAAUUGGAGUAUCUUUCCUUGCGUCCCCGUUCCCAUUUUCUCAAAAAUUUAGCGUACGAGAAGGCCAACAACACCUCCCAUCUGACCAGCUUCUCCAACCCGUCCCAUAACGCUGGGUGCACGAAUCCACCUGCUAACACAUUGCUCGCAGCUUGUAGUUGCACUGCUGUAUUGAACACCAUAGGUUUACCUUCAAUGGCUGCUCUGAAGUUUGUGUCCAUCACAGAGAAGAAUCCAGAGUCCACUGAAUCCACUGGGUGUAAUGGAGGUCGUCCAGAGACUGCUGAAUCCACUGGGUGUAAUGGAGGUCGUCCUGAGACCACUGAAUCCACUGUAAUGGAGGUCAUCCUGAGUCCACUGAAUCCACGGUAAUGGAGGUCAUCCUGAGUCCACUGAAUCCACUGGGUGUAAUGAGGUCGUCCUGAGUCUGCUGAAUCCACUGGGUGUAAUGGAGGUCGUCCUGAGAUCACUGAAUCCACUGGGUGUAAUGGUGGUCAUCCUGAGACCACUGAAUCCACUGUAAUGGAGGUCAUCCUGAGUCCACUGAAUCCACGGUAAUGGAGGUCAUCCUGAGUCCACUGAAUCCACUGGGUGUAAUGGAGGUCAUCCUGAGUCCACUGAAUCCACGGUAAUGGAAGUCAUCCUGAGUCCACUGGGUGUAAUGGAGGUCAUCCUGAGUCCACUGAAUCCACUGGGUGUAAUGGAGGUCAUCCUGAGUCCACUGAAUCCACUGGGUGUAAUGGAGGUCAUCCUGAGUCCACUGAAUCCACUGGGUGUAAUGGAGGUCAUCCUGAGUCCACUGAAUCCACUGGGUAUAAUGGAGGUCGUCCUGAGACUGCUGAAUCAGCUGGGUGUAAUGGAGGUCGUCCUGAGACCACUGAAUCCACUGGGUGUAAUGGAGGUCAUCCUGAGUCCACUGAAUCCACGGUAAUGGAGGUCAUCCUGAGUCCACUGAAUCCACGGUAAUGGAGGUCAUCCUGAGUCCACUGAAUCCACUGGGUGUAAUGGAGGUCAUCCAGAGUCCACUGGGUGUAAUGGAGGUCAUACUGAAUCCACUGGGUGUAAUGGAGGUUGUCCUGAGAACGCUGAGUCCACUGCAGGGCUCGAUAAUAACGAUGGCCUGAUGGCCUCGGGUGAGCAAAAAGUCUAUUAAAACUAGCAAGUCACUGUCCCGAUUGGGCCAUUAUAAUUUUUUUUUAAUGAUAACCGCAUUAUGAACUUGUCAUCCUCCAGGUGUUUCAUAAUCUAGUGCAGACACGAAUAACGGUACUUUCCCAUUAUAUCAAACUCAUUUAAAAAAAAUUCAUAAUUGCGCCAAAAUGUGAUUUUUCUUCUUCAUUCUUUGGGCCUGGGAAUUGAAAUGGGGAAAACUGUGCAAUAGGGAGCUCGGUAUAAGCAAGAACACCACCGUGGACUGGAACAACUAGGCUACCUAAGGCAAGUGUGCAUGGAGGCUGUUAUGGCGAGGAAUCAAGGACAAUUCAGAGGGGAGGGAAUGAUCGUUGAAACUGAUGAGUCGCUCUUCACCAAACCAGGAACAGUGCCGGCCGGAAUCUACCUCAGCAAUGGUUUUUGGGGAUUGCUUUUUCAUCGAAGUGCUGAACAGGAGCGCUCCAACUCUGCUGGCUGCCAUUCAAGAACACAUUGCCGAAGGAGGCAUCAUCUACUCCGACAGUUGGAAGGGCUACAAGACUCAAAAGCUGGAGGACGCAGGCUUGGAACACUUCAAAGUCAGCAUUCGCUACAACUUCGUGAAUCCCGACCCUGGCGUGCACACUCAACAUGUGGAGAAAAUGAUCUUAUUGCCUACCCCUUAUUGUUUAUUGCCGAUCUGAAAUAAAGAGAGUUUACAAGAAAAA
ensembl:lncRNA